rnacentral:tRNA from 1 species
GGGGGCAUAGCUCAGUUGGGAGAGCGCUUGCAUGGCAUGCAAGAGGUCGUCGGUUCGAUCCCGAUUGUCUCCA